rnacentral:rRNA from 1 species
GAACUGUGCGAACGUUAUUCGGGAAUCACUGGGGCUUAAAGGGUGCGUAGGCGGCAAUGUAAGUGGGGGGGGGUGUGAAAUCCCUCGGGCUCAACCGAGGGAACUGCGCUCCAAACUACAUCGCUUGAGGAAGACAGAGGUGAGCGGAACUGAUGGUGGAGCGGUGAAAUGCGUUGAUAUUAUCAGGAACACCGGUGGCGAAAGCGGCUCACUGGGUCUUUUCUGACGCUGAGGCACGAAAGCUAGGGGAGCGAACGGGAUUAGAUACCCCGGUAGUCCUAGCUGUAAACGAUGAGCACUAGUCCGAGGGGACUUCCACAUCCUCUCGGACGUAGCGAAAGUGUUAAGUGCUCCGCCUGGGGAGUAUGGUCGCAAAGGCUG